rnacentral:rRNA from 1 species
UACGGAGGGUGCGAGCGUUAAUCGGAUUUACUGGGCGUAAAGCGUGCGUAGGCGGCAUGUUAAGUCGGAUGUGAAAUCCCAGGCUUAACCUUGGAACUGCAUCCGAAACUGGCAAGCUAGAGAUCGGUAGAGGUUGGUGGAAUUCCCGGUGUAGCGGUGAAAUGCGUAGAAUAUCGGGAGGAACAUCGAUGGCAGAAGGCGCCAACGUGGGCCUGAUCUGACGCUGAGGUACGAAAGCGUGGGGAGCAAAACAGG